GCAUCAUUCAAAUAUCUGCCCUAUCAACUUUAGAUGGUAGGAUAGUGGCCUACCAUGGUUUCAACGGGUAACGGGGAAUAAGGGUUCGAUUCCGGAGAGGGAGCCUGAGAAACGGCUACCACAUCCAAGGAAGGCAGCAGGCGCGCAAAUUACCCAAUCCCGACCGGGGAGGUAGUGACAAUAAAUAACAAUAUAGGGCUCUUUCGGGUCUUAUAAUUGGAAUGAGGACAAUUUAAAUCUCUUAUCGAGGAACAAUUGGAGGGCAAGUCUGGUGCCAGCAGCCGCGGUAAUUCCAGCUCCAAUAGCGUAUAUUAAAGUUGUUGCCGUUAAAAAGCUCGUAGUUG
rnacentral:rRNA from 1 species